rnacentral:rRNA from 1 species
AUUGAACGCUGGCGGCAUGCUUUACACAUGCAAGUCGGACGAGUGGCGAACGGGUGAGUAACAUAUCGGAACGUCCCGAGUAAUGGGGGAUAACUAAUCGAAAGAUUAGCUAAUACCGCAUAUUAUUCGAGCGGCCGAUAGCUGCUUAGCGAGUUGGUGGGGUAAGGGCCGACCAAGGCGACGAUCAGUACCGGGUCUGAGAGGAUGAUCCGCCACACGGGGACUGAGACACGGCCCAGACUCCUACGGUAGGCAGCAGUGGGGAAUUUUGGACAAUGGGCGCAAGCCUGAUCCAGCCAUGCCGCGUGUCUGAAGAAGGCCUUCGGGUUGUAAAGGACUUUUGUCAGGGAAGCGGUACCUGAAGAAUAAGCACCGGCUAACUACGUGCCAGCAGCCGCGGUAAUAC